AUCAACUUUCGAUGGUAGGAUAGAGGCCUACCAUGGUGGUAACGGGUAACGGGGUGUUAGGGCACGACACCGGAGAGGGAGCCUGAGAAACGGCUACCACAUCCAAGGAUGGCAGCAGGCGCGCAAAUUACCCAAUCCCGACACGGGGAGGUAGUGACAAUAAAUAACAAUACGGGGCUCUUUAGGGUCUCGUAAUUGGAAUGAGUACAAUUUAAAUCUCUUAACGAGGAACAAUUGGAGGGCAAGUCUGGUGCCAGCAGCCGCGGUAAUUCCAGCUCCAAUAGCGUAUAUUAAAGUUGUUGCAGUUAAAAAGCUCGUAGUUGAAUUUCGGGAUCAGCAGGUUGGUCGUGCCUUUGGUAUGCACUGGUUUCGUUGAUUCCUCCCUUCUGAAGAACUGUAAUGUCAUUAAUUUGGUGUUGCAGGGAAACAGGACUGUUACUUUGAAAAAAUUAGAGUGUUUAAAGCAGGCUAACGCUUGAAUACAUUAGCAUGGAAUAAUGAAAUAGGACGUUUGAUCCUAUUUUGUUGGUUUCUAGGAUUGACGUAAUGAUUAAUAGGGAUAGUUGGGGGCAUUAGUAUUCAAUUGUCAGAGGUGAAAUUCUUGGAUUUAUUGAAGACUAACUACUGCGAAAGCAUUUGCCAAGGAUGUUUUCAUUAAUCAAGAACGAAAGUUAGGGGAUCGAAGACGAUCAGAUACCGUCGUAGUCUUAACCAUAAACUAUGCCGACUAGGGAUCGGAUGAUGUUAAUUUUUUAAUGACUCAUUCGGCGCCUUACGGGAAACCAAAGUGUUUGGGUUC
rnacentral:rRNA from 1 species